rnacentral:tRNA from 1 species
GCUCUCAUAGCUCAGGAGGUAGAGCGCGUCCUUGGUAAGGACGAGGUCACCGGUUCAACGCCGGUUGAGAGCUCCA